GAUGAACGCUGGCGGCGUGCCUAAUACAUGCAAGUCGAGCGAACGGACGAGAAGCUUGCUUCUCUGAUGUUAGCGGCGGACGGGUGAGUAACACGUGGAUAACCUACCUAUAAGACUGGGAUAACUUCGGGAAACCGGAGCUAAUACCGGAUAAUAUUUUGAACCGCAUUGUUCAAAAGUUAAAGACGGUCUUGCUGUCUCUUAUAGAUGGAUCCGCGCUGCAUUAUCUAGUUGGUAAGGUAACGGCUUACCAAGGCAACGAUGCAUAUCCGACCUGAGAGGGUGAUCGGCAACACUGGAACUGAGACACGGUCCAGACUCCUACGGGAGGAAGCAGUAGGGAAUCUUACGCAAUGGGCGAAAGCAUGACGGAGCAACGCCGCGUGAGUGAUGAAGGUCUUCGGAUCGUAAAACUCUGUUAUUAGGGAAGAACAUAUGUGUAAGUAACUGUGCACAUAGUGACGGUACCUAAUCAGAAAGCCACGGCUAACUACGUG
rnacentral:rRNA from 1 species